rnacentral:lncRNA from 1 species
CAUUUCUUGACAAAGAGGGCAUAGCAUUGAGACAAUCAUGUCCUUAUCUACAUGAACAAAAUGGCAAGGUUAAGAGAAAACACAGACAUGUGGUAAAAACUGGACUCACAUUGCUAGCACAAGCUAAAAUGCCAUUAAAAUUUUGCCAAGAAGCCUUCACUUAUGCCACCUACAUUAUCAACAGAUUGGCUUCACGUGUUAUUGGAAAUAAAACCCCUUUGAACUGCUUUACCAUUACAAACCAAAUCACUCACAAAUCAAAGUAUUUGUGUGAAUGUUAUUCAUUUUUGAGACCAUACAACAAGCACAAGUUUGAUUUCCAUACUGCCAAAUGCACAUUGCUAGGGAUAAGUAUACCUCAUAAGGGAUAUGUUUGCAUGCAUCACUCAGGUAGAAUAUAUAUCUCUACAAGUGUCAAAUUCAAUGAAAGCUCAUUUCCUUUUUCUAAUGACCCCAAGUUCAAUAGACAAGAGUCCACAAAUCAGAGUGAUUUCAUUUCUCUUUUAGAAAAAUUUCAGGUCGUGUCAUUCUCUUUUGAUACUCCUCAAAUCACUCAGUCAGCAGCUGAUCAAAGCCACUCUCUUGAAACUUCUGAAACUUCAGAACAAUCCCAUAACCUUGACCAAGGUAAGACACAACAGAAUUUGAGCACUGACAUGAUAUCAAAUAAUCAGUUAUCUUCACCUCAUUGAAAUCACCAGCCUCAAGUAAAUGACCAACCUU